rnacentral:rRNA from 1 species
UACGAAGGGGGCUAGCGUUGCUCGGAAUUACUGGGCGUAAAGGGCGCGUAGGCGGCCAUUCAAGUCAGGGGUGAAAGCCUGUGGCUCAACCACAGAAUUGCCUUUGAUACUGUUUGGCUAGAGACCGGAAGAGGUAAGUGGAACUGCGAGUGUAGAGGUGAAAUUCGUAGAUAUUCGCAAGAACACCAGUGGCGAAGGCGGCUUACUGGUCCGGUUCUGACGCUGAGGCGCGAAAGCGUGGGGAGCAAACAGG